AAAUCAACUAAAAAUGUUUACCUUUCAUGAUCUUUUGACUUUAGGCAAGAUCUGGAACUCACAUAAUGCCAGAUCAGAUGAAUAGGUGGAGGAGAACACAUGGUUAUGUUUUUAGAAGCCUGUCUUUCCACUGACAGCAGCGUUCAUCAUAUUUUUGAUCACAUCUCAAAAGGUAUUCGUGAAACAGGACUUCCAGAACUGCUUCAGAAAGUGGAAGAAACAACGGUAUUCAUCCUCUGUGUAGACCUGGUAACAGUUCUGAUAUCAGAGAGAGGAACUCUUUCUCAGACCCAUUAAGGAGGCCCAGCUCCUAAGUUUCUGAGUGGCUUUUGCUUUAUUGAAAGAUUGAAAGAAUUUCUAAAGAACAAAAUUAAAAAGGAUGAAAAAUCUGGGUGACUGCUCCUACCCUUUCCUCCGAGUGCCUUGCACGGCCAUUGAGCUGACAUCCAGCUGCCAGCACCUGUGUUUCUUCGCAGAGAGGUCUCAGUCCCAUGGGUUUCACCCUGUCUCACUAACCAGGCUGGAGGUGCUGCGAUGAACACCUCCAGUGCUGGUCCCCCACCAGCACCCUACGGGAGGUGGCACAGGAGCACCCACCUCUCACUGUGCAGGUGGAAGAGCACAGAGGCACAUUUCCCUCCAAAAUAUCUGUGCUACUUUACUCAUUGUUAUAUACAUGUAAUUUAUUGUAAGGCAAACACUAUUAAUACAAAAAUGUAUGAAUGAAAUAGAAUUGAAUAAUUUAAAAGAUAUGUUAAUGCAGAGAGUAAAGAGCAGCACCAAAAUAAUUUUGUUUGAGUAGUGUUUCAAAUAAAUACCAGGUAAUGCUAAAGGUGUUUCUUGGUCUUGGGAAAGAACUUCAACCCACUUUUAAUGCUUCAUAUGUACUAUCUAAAGUUUAAGUUGAAAAUUGUUAAGUAAAAUUUGUAUGAUUAAAACAUUAAUGGAUCAUAUAUAUAUUUUGUG
rnacentral:lncRNA from 1 species